rnacentral:rRNA from 1 species
CCUACGGGAGGCAGCAGUGAGGAAUAUUGGUCAAUGGGCGCGAGCCUGAACCAGCCAAGUCGCGUGAGGGAAGACGGUCCUAUGGAUUGUAAACCUCUUUUGUCGGGGAGCAAAAGACGCCACGCGUGGCGUUCCGAGAGUACCCGAAGAAAAAGCAUCGGCUAACUCCGUGCCAGCAGCCGCGGUAAUACGGAGGAUGCGAGCGUUAUCCGGAUUUAUUGGGUUUAAAGGGUGCGCAGGCGGAAGAUCAAGUCAGCGGGAAAAUUGAGAGGCUCAACCUCGUCGAGCCGUUGAAACUGGUUUUCUUGAGUGCGCGAGAAGUAUGCGGAAUGCGUGGUGUAGCGGUGAAAUGCAUAGAUAUCACGCAGAACUCCGAUUGCGAAGGCAGCAUACCGGCGCUCAACUGACGCUCAUGCACGAAAGUGUGGGUAUCGAACAGGAUUAGAUACCCGGGUAGUC